UACGAAGGGGGCUAGCGUUGCUCGGAAUCACUGGGCGUAAAGCGCACGUAGGCGGAUUGUUAAGUCAGGGGUGAAAUCCUGGAGCUCAACUCCAGAACUGCCUUUGAUACUGGCGAUCUCGAGUCCGGGAGAGGUGAGUGGAACUGCGAGUGUAGAGGUGAAAUUCGUAGAUAUUAGGAAGAACACCGGUGGCGAAGGCGGCUCACUGGCCCGGUACUGACGCUGAGGUGCGAAAGCGUGGGGAGCGAUCCGG
rnacentral:rRNA from 1 species